GACGAACGCUGGCGGCGUGCUUAACACAUGCAAGUCGAACGAUGAAGCUGGAGCUUGCUCCGGUGGAUUAGUGGCGAACGGGUGAGUAACACGUGAGCAAUCUGCCCUUGACUCUGGGAUAACUGCGGGAAACUGUAGCUAAUACCGGAUACGAGGCUCGAAGGCAUCCUCGGGUCUGGAAAGAAUUUCGGUCAAGGAUGAGCUCGCGGCCUAUCAGCUUGUUGGUGAGGUAAUGGCUCACCAAGGCGACGACGGGUAGCCGGCCUGAGAGGGUGACCGGCCACACUGGGACUGAGACACGGCCCAGACUCCUACGGGAGGCAGCAGUGGGGAAUAUUGCACAAUGGGCGCAAGCCUGAUGCAGCAACGCCGCGUGAGGGAUGAAGGCCUUCGGGUUGUAAACCUCUUUUAGCAGGGAAGAAGCGAAAGUGACGGUACCUGCAGAAAAAGCACCGGCUAACUACGUGCCAGCCGCCGCAGUAA
rnacentral:rRNA from 1 species